rnacentral:rRNA from 1 species
AAGUCGANNGAAGGCCCUGACUUCGGUUGGGUCCUUAGUGGCGCACGGGUGCGUAACGCGUGGGAAUCUGCCCUUGGGUUCGGAAUAACAGCGGGAAACUGCUGCUAAUACCGGAUGAAGACGAAAGUCCAAAGAUUUAUCGCCUGAGGAUGAGCCCGCGUUGGAUUAGGUAGUUGGUGGGGUAAAGGCCUACCAAGCCGACGAUCCAUAGCUGGUCUGAGAGGAUGAUCAGCCACACUGGGACUGAGACACGGCCCAGACUCCUACGGGAGGCAGCAGUGGGGAAUAUUGGACAAUGGGCGAAAGCCUGAUCCAGCAAUGCCGCGUGAGUGAUGAAGGCCUUAGGGUUGUAAAGCUCUUUUACCCGGGAUACUAAUGACAGUACCGGGAGAAUAAGCCCCGGCUAACUCCGUGCCAGCAGCCGCGUGUAAUACGGAGGGGGCUAGCGUUGUUCGGAAUUACUGGGCGUAAAGCGCACGUAGGCGGCUUUGUAAGUCAGAGGUGAAAGCCUGGAGCUCAACUCCAGAACUGCCUUUGAGACUGCAUCGCUUGAAUCCAGGAGAGGUGAGUGGAAUUUCCGAGUGUAGAGGUGAAAAUUCGUAGAUAUUUCGGGAAGAACACCAGUGGCGAAGGCGGCCUCAACUGGACUUGGUAUUGACGCUGAGGUGCGAAAAGCCGUGGGGAGCAAACACAGGAUUNAGACAUCCCUGGCAGUCCUACGCCGUAAACGAUGAUAACUAGCUGUUCGGGGACAUGGGCCUUUGGGUCGGCGCAGCCUAACGCCAUAAAUUAAUCCGCCUGGGGGAGUACGGCCGCAAGGUUAA